rnacentral:rRNA from 1 species
GUCCACGCCGUAAACGAUGGAUACUAGCUGUUGGGUGCAAACUCAGUGGCUAAGCGAAAGUGAUAAGUAUCCCACCUGGGGAGUACGUUCGCAAGAAUGAAACUCAAAGGAAUUGACGGGGCCCGCACAAGCGGUGGAGCAUGUGGUUUAAUUCGAUGAUACGCGAGGAACCUUACCAAGGCUUAAAUGUAGAUUGACCGGUUUGGAAACAGAUCUUUCGCAAGACAAUUUACAAGGUGCUGCAUGGUUGUCGU